rnacentral:rRNA from 1 species
UACGUAGGGCGCAAGCGUUAUCCGGAAUUAUUGGGCGUAAAGAGCUUGUAGGCGGUUUGUCGCGUCUGCUGUGAAAUUUCGGGGCUCAACCCCGAACUUGCAGUGGAUACUGUCGGGCUAGAGUGCGGAAGAGGCGAGUGGAAUUCCUGGUGUAGCGGUGAAAUGCGCAGAUAUCAGGAGGAACACCGAUUGCGAAGGCAGCUCGCUGGGACGUAACUGACGCUGAGACGCGAAAGCGUGGGGAGCAAACAGG